rnacentral:rRNA from 1 species
GUAACACGUAAAGAACCUGCCCUCAGGUCUGGGAUAACCACGAGAAAUCGGGGCUAAUACCGGAUGGGUCAUCGGACCGCAUGGUCCGAGGAUGAAAGGCGCUUCGGCGUCGCCUGGGGAUGGCUUUGCGGUGCAUUAGCUAGUUGGUGGGGUAAUGGCCCACCAAGGCGACGAUGCAUAGCCGACCUGAGAGGGUGAUCGGCCACACUGGGACUGAGACACGGCCCAGACUCCUACGGGAGGCAGCAGUAGGGAAUCUUCCACAAUGGACGAAAGUCUGAUGGAGCAACGCCGCGUGAACGAUGAAGGCCUUCGGGUCGUAAAGUUCUGUUGUAAGGGAAGAACAAGUGCCGCAGGCAAUGGCGGCACCUUGACGGUACCUUGCGAGAAAGCCACGGCUAACUACGUGCCAGCAGCCGCGGUAAUACGUAGGUGGCAAGCGUUGUCCGGAAUUAUUGGGCGUAAAGCGCGCGCAGGCGGCCUCUUAAGUCUGAUGUGAAAGCCCCCGGCUCAACCGGGGAGGGCCAUUGGAAACUGGGAGGCUUGAGUAUAGGAGAGAAGAGUGGAAUUCCACGUGUAGCGGUGAAAUGCGUAGAGAUGUGGAGGAACACCAGUGGCGGAGGCGACUCUUUGGCCUAUAACUGACGCUGAGGCG